rnacentral:rRNA from 1 species
GGCGGACGGGUGAGUAAUGCAUAGGAAUCUGCCCGAUAGUGGGGGAUAAUCUUGGGAAACCCAGGCUAAUACCGCAUACGUCCUACGGGAGAAAGGGGGCUCCGGCUCCCGCUAUCGGAUGAGCCUAUGUCGGAUUAGCUGGUUGGUGAGGUAAAGGCUCACCAAGGCGACGAUCCGUAGCUGGUCUGAGAGGAUGAUCAGCCACAUCGGGACUGAGACACGGCCCGAACUCCUACGGGAGGCAGCAGUGGGGAAUAUUGGACAAUGGGGGCAACCCUGAUCCAGCCAUGCCGCGUGUGUGAAGAAGGCCCUCGGGUUGUAAAGCACUUUCAGUGAGGAAGAACGCCUGGUGGUUAAUACCCAUCAGGAAAGACAUCACUCACAGAAGAAGCACCGGCUAACUCCGUGCCAGCAGCCGCGGUAAUACGGAGGGUGCGAGCGUUAAUCGGAAUUACUGGGCGUAAAGCGCGCGUAGGUGGCUUGAUAAGCCGGUUGUGAAAGCCCCGGGCUCAACCUGGGAACGGCAUCCGGAACUGUCAAGCUAGAGUGCAGGAGAGGAAGGUAGAAUUCCCGGUGUAGCGGUGAAAUGCGUAGAGAUCGGGAGGAAUACCAGUGGCGAAGGCGGCCUUCUGGACUGACACUGACACUGAGGUGCGAAAGCGUGGGUAGCAAACAGGAUUAGAUACCCUGGUAGUCCACGCCGUAAACGAUGUCGACCAGCCGUUGGGUGCCUAGCGCACUUUGUGGCGAA